CACACCGCCCGUCACACCACGAAAGCUGUGUGUACCCGAAGUCGCUGAGCUAACCCGCAAGGGAGGCAGGCGCCGAAGGUAUGCGGGGUGAUUGGGGUG
rnacentral:rRNA from 1 species